AUUGAACGCUGGCGGCAGGCCUAACACAUGCAAGUCGAACGGUAACAGGAAGAAGCUUGCUUCUUUGCUGACGAGUGGCGGACGGGUGAGUAAUGCCUGGGAAACUGCCUGAUGGAGGGGGAUAACUACUGGAAACGGUAGCUAAUACCGCAUAACGUCGCAAGACCAAAGAGGGGGACCUUCGGGCCUCUUGCCAUCGGAUGUGCCCAGAUGGGAUUAGCUAGUAGGUGGGGUAACGGCUCACCUAGGCGACGAUCCCUAGCUGGUCUGAGAGGAUGACCAGCCACACUGGAACUGAGACACGGUCCAGACUCCUACGGGAGGCAGCAGUGGGGAAUAUUGCACAAUGGGCGCAAGCCUGAUGCAGCCAUGCCGCGUGUAUGAAGAAGGCCUUCGGGUUGUAAAGUACUUUCAGCGGGGAGGAAGGGAGUAAAGUUAAUACCUUUGCUCAUUGACGUACCCGCA
rnacentral:rRNA from 1 species